GACGAACGCUGGCGGCGUGCUUAACACAUGCAAGUCGAACGGGUCUGCCCUGUUUUUUGCGGGGUGGGUCAGUGGCGAACGGGUGAGUAACACGUGAGUAACCUGCCCCUCACUUCUGGAUAACCGCUUGAAAGGGUGGCUAAUACGGGGUGUUCUGGCUGUGCCGCAUGGUGUGGCUGGGAAAGAUUCACUUUUGUGGUGUUUUGGUGGGGGAUGGGCUCGCGGCCUAUCAGCUUGUUGGUGGGGUGAUGGCCUGCCAAGGCUUUGACGGGUAGCCGGCCUGAGAGGGUGGGCGGUCACACUGGGACUGAGAUACGGCCCAGACUCCUGCGGGAGGCAGCAGUGGGGGGUAUUGCACAAUGGGCGGAAGCCUGAUGCAGCGACGUCGCGGGAGGGAUGGAGGCCUUCGGGUUGUGAACCUCUUUCGCCGGUGAAGAAGGUCCUGCUCUUUGGGGUGGGGUUGACGGUAGCCGGGUUAUGAAGCGCCGGCUAACUACGUG
rnacentral:rRNA from 1 species